GCUGGGUGUGGUGGCGCGCACCUGUAAUCCCAGCUACUCAGGAGGCUGAGGCAGGAGAAUCGCUUGAACCCAGGAGGCAGAGGCUGCAGUGAGUGGAGAUCAUACCACUGCACUCCCAGCCUGGUGACAGAGAGAGACUCUGCCUCAA
rnacentral:SRP_RNA from 1 species